CUAAGAUGACAUCGAAGCUGGCAGAUGCCAUCUACACUGACCUUGGGAAGGUCAAGCGUUUGAAACGCUCCUUGAAAAUUGACGAUUUAUUUGAGGAUCAGGAGAUGCUUUCCAUUGUCUCUGUCAUUGUUUCCCACAAGCUACUGGCCAUCUUGAAACCCUCAGUUUCCAACCCAUAUGACCGUGAGACCUCAGACCUUGAAGACUCAUGCAGUAAUGAUUUGGAGGAUGCGGAAUCUGAGGGGGUGCAUUAUGCCACCGGCAGAAAGGUAAGACAAGCUCAGAUUACUCUUGAAUGGUCAUUGGUUGUGCUUUUUGAUAUCGGCACCAGUAAGUAUAGUUGUAUAAUUAUAGGAAUAUGUAAAGGAAGUGAAAUUGAAGUUUAAUUGUGCAUUCUUGAAUUCUAAUCACAGUCCAACAUGAGCAUCGUCCUUACAGACACUACAAACCAGCCAGAGAUGUACAUUGCUGUGGAUUCUACACCUAUGAUUAAAUUAUCCAAGAUGAGGAAAGGCAUCCGGGACUUCUUCCGGGGAGUCCAGAAGGCCUGGAAACGCUUGGUCACCUGCAAGUCCUCUGGGUCCUCUGAUGGGUAGCCUGGAUGACGUGCAGCCCAUGUCAGUUGCUUUUGCCAGGCUACAUCUGAGGAGGACACCACAACUGGCCUCAAUACAACAUUUUUAUUUUUGUUGGUCAUUUCUGUUUUCAUUUUGAAUCCCCUAAUGCUGCUAUAUUUGAACCAGGCUGUCAGUGGACUAGCUUACCAUUAGUUUAUACUCCUUAAGGAAGAUACACUAUAGGCUAGUCAACACCACAAUUCCAUCUGGGUCUUUUGAUCCCUUAUUAGCUCCCACUCCUGUAACUAGGAAUGUGAGCUUCUAAAUGUCAUUCAGACAUCUACAGCUUCUCCUGUGAUUAGGAAGAUAAGCUAAGGAGCCCAACCAAUUGACUAGAUGUGCUGUACAUCUGAUGCCCUCUCCCUAUUGUAAUCAUUGAUCCACGUCCAUUGCAGCCUCUAAAUUUGAUGUAGAUAUUUAGCCUAAAUUAAAAAAUGACAAGGAGGGUAGGCCGACAGCAGCUUCUACUCUUACGAUUAGGAAAGUGGUGCUAAACUUUUUGGGCUUUGAGAAACUAUGUAUUUUAUUUUUCAAUCACAUACAUACUUUUUAAUGGUUGUUUUAAUAAAGCAUUUGUAUUGCAGAUUUUUAUUAAUAUUGUAUCUUUCAUCAUUUUUUAUUUUAAUUUAGGUUUUCAUUUGAUGACAUGGGACUAAAGCGUAGUUUAUACCCUACAUACGUACACAAGAAAUAACUACAAGCAGCUACACAAAAAAAACUUUACACAAGAACGCAGGAUCAGCAUUUUGAGAAGCGUUCUUGUGUUGCACCUCUCCCUAUUGUAUGAACUAGGCUUAGUCAUUUUAUGACUUCUAUAAGGGUAUAUAAUUGUAUCCAUAGUGCAGUAUUAAGAUAUUCAUUGUGGAGCUUUAUAUUAUAGUAGAAAUAAUGUAAAUGAAUAAAAGUGAAUUGAUGUAUGU